UUGACAUCCCGGAGACCCUUAGGAAACUAGGGGGUGGCUUCCAUCUGGAAGAAUCUGGAGACAGGUGCUGCAUGGCUGUCGUCAGCUCGUGUCGUGAGAUGUUGGGUUAAGUCCCGCAACGAGCGCAACCCUUGCCUUUAGUUGCCAGCAGUUCGGCUGGGCACUCUAAAGGGACUGCCGGUGUUAAACCGGAGGAAGGUGGGGAUGACGUCAAGUCCUCAUGGCCUUUAUGACCAGGGCUACACACGUACUACAAUGGCCGAUACAAAGGGCAGCGACACUGCGAGGUGAAGCCAAUCCCGUAAAAUCGGUCUCAGUCCGGAUUGGAGUCUGCAACUCGACUCCAUGAAGUUGGAAUCGCUAGUAAUCGUGGAUCAGCAUGCCACGGUGAAUACGUUCCCGGGCCUU
rnacentral:rRNA from 1 species